rnacentral:rRNA from 1 species
ACAUAAAAGGUGGCUUCGGCUACCACUUACAGAUGGACCCGCGGCGCAUUAGCUAGUUGGUGAGGUAACGGCUCACCAAGGCGACGAUGCGUAGCCGACCUGAGAGGGUGAUCGGCCACACUGGGACUGAGACACGGCCCAGACUCCUACGGGAGGCAGCAGUAGGGAAUCUUCCGCAAUGGACGAAAGUCUGACGGAGCAACGCCGCGUGAGUGAUGAAGGUUUUCGGAUCGUAAAGCUCUGUUGUUAGGGAAGAACAAGUACCGUUCGAAUAGGGCGGUACCUUGACGGUACCUAACCAGAAAGCCACGGCUAACUACGUGCCAGCAGCCGCGGUAAUACGUAGGUGGCAAGCGUUGUCCGGAAUUAUUGGGCGUAAAGGGCUCGCAGGCGGUUUCUUAAGUCUGAUGUGAAAGCCCCCGGCUCAACCGGGGAGGGUCAUUGGAAACUGGGGAACUUGAGUGCAGAAGAGGAGAGUGGAAUUCCACGUGUAGCGGUGAAAUGCGUAGAGAUGUGGAGGAACACCAGUGGCGAAGGCGACUCUCUGGUCUGUAACUGACGCUGAGGAGCGAAAGCGUGGGGAGCGAACAGGAUUAGAUACCCUGGUAGUCCACGCCGUAAACGAUGAGUGCUAAGUGUUAGGGGGUUUCCGCCCCUUAGUGCUGCAGCUAACGCAUUAAGCACUCCGCCUGGGGAGUACGGUCGCAAGACUGAAACUCAAAGGAAUUGACGGGGGCCCGCACAAGCGGUGGAGCAUGUGGUUUAAUUCGAAGCAACGCGAAGAACCUUACCAGGUCUUGACAUCCUCUGACAAUCCUAGAGAUAGGACGUCCCCUUCGGGGGCAGAGUGACAGGUGGUGCAUGGUUGUCGUCAGCUCGUGUCGUGAGAUGUUGGGUUAAGUCCCGCAACGAGCGCAACCCUUGAUCUUAGUUGCCAGCAUUCAGUUGGGCACUCUAAGGUGACUGCCGGUGACAAACCGGAGGAAGGUGGGGAUGACGUCAAAUCAUCAUGCCCCUUAUGACCUGGGCUACACACGUGCUACAAUGGACAGAACAAAGGGCAGCGAAACCGCGAGGUUAAGCCAAUCCCACAAAUCUGUUCUCAGUUCGGAUCGCAGUCUGCAACUCGACUGCGUGAAGCUGGAAUCGCUAGUAAUCGCGGAUCAGCAUGCCGCGGUGA